rnacentral:rRNA from 1 species
GACAGAGGGUGCAAACGUUGCUCGGAAUUACUGGGCGUAAAGCGUGCGCAGGCGGUUCGUCGUGUCCGAUGUGAAAGCCCCGGGCUCAACCUGGGAAUGGCAUUGGAAACUGGCGGACUCGAGUGUGGCAGAGGGGGGUGGAAUUCCGCGUGUAGCAGUGAAAUGCGUAGGGAUGCGGAGGAACACCGAUGGCGAAGGCAGCCCCCUGGGCUAACACUGACGCUCAGGCACGAAAGCGUGGGGAGCAAACAGG